rnacentral:rRNA from 1 species
UACGUAGGGUGCGAGCGUGUCCGGAAUUAUUGGGCGUAAAGAGCUCGUAGGCGGUCUGUCGCGUCUGCUGUGAAAUCCCGAGGCUCAACCUCGGGCCUGCAGUGGGUACGGGCAGACUAGAGUGCGGUAGGGGAGAUUGGAAUUCCUGGUGUAGCGGUGGAAUGCGCAGAUAUCAGGAGGAACACCGAUGGCGAAGGCAGAUCUCUGGGCCGUAACUGACGCUGAGGAGCGAAAGCGUGGGGAGCGAACAGG